UUCAUUCCUAUGUUUAGACAGAAAUUGUAUUUGAAGGUAAACUACAUUAAAUGUAGAGGGUUUUUCCACAGGCUAAAAACACCAGGGUAAUACACCGCCAUCAACAUCUCAUCUCUAUCCCUGCACAACUUCACCUGUAUGAGUGUAAUCAAAUAUAGCUCUAAUCAUGAGAGAAUGCUGCGUCCUGUCUGCUGUGUCGAUUUUAAAUGAGCCUUAUAAAACAAUAAUUUGAUAAUAGUGGCUGACAGGCAUGCAUAUUGGUUCAUAUCUGGUCAUGUAUUCUGUUUUGGCAGCAUUAGAGACCUCCGGGUAUCAAGCCCCAUUGGUCCGGACAGGUGAUUUUGGACGAUCCAGCUACCUAAUCACUGAAGAACACCUGAGAUUCCUGCUUUCAUGUGGAUUUGUAGCUACGCAAAUUGCUGAAAUCCUGGAUGUAUCAGUCAGUGCAGUUAAACGAAGAUUGAGGCGCUUCAACUUGCCCUACCUGAUGAGGUCUGCACGUCUUUCUAAUGCAGAACUUGAUGAAGUCAAGUCAAGCUGCAGUCGGUUGGAGAAAAUGAAGAGAUGGGAGCAAAUGCUGUUUUGGCCAGACUGGCUGCUAUGGCUGUUUGAGUGCAGAGGAGAAGAGUGAGAGAGAGUUUGAUUGGAGUGAAUCCAGAGCGUUGUCUCACCGACUGCACCGGAGAACCUACAGUGCUGCAGGACCCAACUCGCUGUGGCACAUAGAUGGGAACCACAAACUCAUCAGAUGGAGAAUAGUGAUCCAUGGCGGAAUCUGUGGCUUCAGCAGGCCGGUUGUGUUUUUGCAGGCUUCAGAUAAUAACAGAAGUUGCACAGUGUUUGACCAGUUUGUUCAAGCCACUGCUAGGUAUGGAGUCUCGAAUAAGGUGUGACCAUGGGGGAGAAAACAAUGCUGUCUGCUUGUUCAUGAACAUUUACCGUGGAUUAGAAAGAGGAAGUGCCAUCCGGGGCAGAAGUGUCCAUAACCAGCGGAUGGAGAGGCUUUGGGGAGAUCUCUGGAGAGGAUUAUACAACAGUUUCUUGCCAGUCUCUUUGCCAACUCUGGAUUCCCUAGCUUACCUCCCCUCUCAAGGACGGUAUCCUGCACUCUAAUCCAGGGGAUAAUGAAUCCCUGAGGAAUGAGAGGGUUAGAUGCCGUGAUAACACAGACUGCUGUGUGCAGUGUCCAGUGCACAGAGAACUUCGCAGUGGGAGAGCCAUUCAGACAGCUGCCCUGUAACCACUUCUUUCAUUCAGAAUGGAUAGUACCAUGGCUGGAACUGAGGAGGUGUGCAGUGGCAACGGACCAGCAACGGACCCCUCGGCAACCGGUCCGGACCACAAGGACCGCGUGG